CGCUUUUGCUUUGUUUGGUUUUAUCUUCCUGAAACUUUUUAUUUGAAGAGAGCAAGUCUUUAAAUAGAAAGUGAAUGGAGGUGGGGCUCUGGCUGGGGAGGCAAGAGCGACUGUGAGGAAGGGAGUCCAGCCUCUCUCCUUGCAGCACGGGGCACUGACGACAAGGCUUUUUCUGUUCCCAGGGAGGAAGAAUUACAUAAGAAUGUAAAGAGAUGGCUUAGUAGAACUCUGAACAGCAAAAGGCUCACGGAGGUCCAAGCACGUGCCGGAAGGUGGAAACAAGAGGCCUUUGCAUCUUCAGGCAUUUGCUGAGUUGCUCAGACGGUCUGGAUGGUGGAAUUUGCCAGAAAUGGGUCUUCAUUGCAUGGAGUCAGAGACUCAGGGCUCUCAGCUGCCCUGACCGCACCUCCGCCCAAGCCUGAGGCAUUUUGCGCCUGAGAGGAGAGGUGACAGAGUGGGCACAGGAACCAGCCACAACCACAGGGGCUCUUGCAAAUCGCAGCACAUAACAAACAGCCCUUGCCUGGUUUGCAGACAGGUUUAUUUCUGGGAAAGUUAAAUUCAGGACUCGCUCCAUGCAAAAUUGUAAAGUAGCUGUGCGUGUCUACUGCAGAGGCCCAGCCAGAAUACUACGUGGCACUGGGGCAUCUGGAGGUCAGAAAGUGGAGCUCUGGAAGUUAAGGAACUUGCCUGGGGCCAUGCUGCUUGCUCAUCUAAGACACAAUAAUACCCAUUUCUAGGAGUUUUCAAGAAAAUUAAAUACGGUGAUGUGC
rnacentral:lncRNA from 1 species